rnacentral:rRNA from 1 species
UACGUAGGGCGCAAGCGUUAUCCGGAAUUAUUGGGCGUAAAGAGCUCGUAGGCGGUUUGUCGCGUCUGCCGUGAAAGUCCGGGGCUCAACUCCGGAUCUGCGGUGGGUACGGGCAGACUAGAGUGAUGUAGGGGAGACUGGAAUUCCUGGUGUAGCGGUGAAAUGCGCAGAUAUCAGGAGGAACACCGAUGGCGAAGGCAGGUCUCUGGGCCACUACUGACGCUGAGAAGCGAAAGCCAGGGGAGCAAACGGG